GUUGGAGACUGGUUAGGACUUCAAUGUGUGAAUUUUGAGGGGGACAUAAUUCAACCUAAAUCGGAUAGCUUGAAACCACAAUGUGAAAGGUCUUGGAGAGCAUUUGAAAAGGCAUCACAUUCGUCCUGUGGGAAGCUUUUGACGUUUAUGAACAGAGCAGUACUAUGAUUACAGAGAAAGACAGAAGAAAGAUGGAAGGAUGUUUGGAAGAAGUUGAAGACUGAAUAGGAUACAAAAAUUAAUGUUGAGAGGGGAGGUGUCAAGAUGAUGGAAUAGGAGGAUGCAGAAUUCCUCUCUCCUCACAAGCACAUCCAGAAUACAUCUAUAAAUGGGACAGUUCUCACAGAACACCUGCUGAACAUUUGUGGAAGACUUCAGACAACUUAAAGGACAAGAAAAAUUCCCUUGCAAUCAGAUUAAUCAGAAUUAAGUUUGGCCAUGAGGGAUUGUCUGCAGUCUGGUUUCCUAAAAGCAGAGCCUGAGAAUAUGGAGCCAAGGGGAGAGCAUGCAGAAAGAAGAAAAACUUCCAGAUCAAUUCUUGUGAUUGAUUGAAUUACUCUGAAAAACCUACUGGAUUAUCAAGAUUCUGUUUUGAAGUCUUAAAUUUGUGAAAUAUCCUUGUUUUUUUAAUAAAGAAAAGUAUAUAUGUA
ensembl:lncRNA